rnacentral:rRNA from 1 species
UACGUAGGGUGCGAGCGUUGUCCGGAAUUAUUGGGCGUAAAGAGCUCGUAGGCGGCUUGUCGCGUCGGUUUGUGAAAGCCCGGGGCUUAACCCCGGGUCUGCAGUCGAUACGGGCAGGCUAGAGUGUGGUAGGGGAGAUCGGAAUUCCUGGUGUAGCGGUGAAAUGCGCAGAUAUCAGGAGGAACACCGGUGGCGAAGGCGGAUCUCUGGGCCAUUACUGACGCUGAGGAGCGAAAGCGUGGGGAGCGAACAGG